rnacentral:rRNA from 1 species
GACGAACGCUGGCGGCGUGCUUAACACAUGCAAGUCGAACGGAAAGGCCCUGCUUUUUUGGGGUGCUCGAGUGGCGAACGGGUGAGUAACACGUGAGUAACCUGCCCUUCACUUUGGGAUAACUUCAGGAAACUGGGUCUAAUACCGGAUAGGAGCUCCUGCUGCAUGGUGGGGGUGGGAAAGUUUCGGUGGUUGGGGGUGGACUCGCGGCCUAUCGGAUUGUUGGUGGGGUAGUGGAUGACCAAGGCUUGGACGGGUAGCCGGGCUGAGAGGGUAAGCGGACACGCUGGAACGGGAAUGCGGCACGGACUAGUACGGGAGGGGGCAGAGGGGAAUAGUGUACAAUGGAAGGAGGCAUGAUCCAGCCCAGCAGCGUGGGGGAAGAGAGGAAUCGGGUAGUAAUGCGAAUUCGUUUGAGCCGAAGUGUGAGUGACGGUAAUGGGUAAAGAAGCACCGGCUAACUACGUG